ACCUUUUCGGGAAAGUUAGGAGCAUAGGUUAAAUAUCAGUUUUGACUACUAUUAUUGUCCCCGAUCGGGGAAGAGGCAGAGGUGGCAGUGCCGACGAUGAAGCUUCUCUGCGAGCUCGGGGACACACCAUGUCGAUAGGUCCCCUUAGGAGUGAGGCGAAAGCCUUACGAUGAGUAUGGGGCAACCCGGACAUGGGACAGCCCCCAGAGGUCAGCCACUCUGAGAGGGCAAAGCCUGCGAUGAGGGGUGGUGUUACUCUGGGGGCAGAUUUCU
rnacentral:snoRNA from 1 species